rnacentral:rRNA from 1 species
GUUAAGCGACUAAGCGUACACGGUGGAUGCCCUGGCAGUCAGAGGCGAUGAAGGACGUGCUAAUCUGCGAUAAGCGUCGGUAAGGUGAUAUGAACCGUUAUAACCGGCGAUUUCCGAAUGGGGAAACCCAGUGUGUUUCGACACACUAUCAUUAACUGAAUCCAUAGGUUAAUGAGGCGAACCGGGGGAACUGAAACAUCUAAGUACCCCGAGGAAAAGAAAUCAACCGAGAUUCCCCCAGUAGCGGCGAGCGAACGGGGAGGAGCCCAGAGCCUGAAUCAGUGUGUGUGUUAGUGGAAGCGUCUGGAAAGGCGUGCGAUACAGGGUGACAGCCCCGUACACAAAAAUGCACAUACUGUGAGCUCGAUGAGUAGGGCGGGACACGUGGUAUCCUGUCUGAAUAUGGGGGGACCAUCCUCCAAGGCUAAAUACUCCUGACUGACCGAUAGUGAACCAGUACCGUGAGGGAAAGGCGAAAAGAACCCCGGCGAGGGGAGUGAAAAAGAACCUGAAACCGUGUACGUACAAGCAGUGGGAGCCUCUUAAUGGGGUGACUGCGUACCUUUUGUAUAAUGGGUCAGCGACUUAUAUUCUGUAGCAAGGUUAACCGAAUAGGGGAGCCGAAGGGAAACCGAGUCUUAACUGGGCGUUAAGUUGCAGGGUAUAGACCCGAAACCCGGUGAUCUAGCCAUGGGCAGGUUGAAGGUUGGGUAACACUAACUGGAGGACCGAACCGACUAAUGUUGAAAAAUUAGCGGAUGACUUGUGGCUGGGGGUGAAAGGCCAAUCAAACCGGGAGAUAGCUGGUUCUCCCCGAAAGCUAUUUAGGUAGCGCCUCGUGAAUUCAUCUCCGGGGGUAGAGCACUGUUUCGGCAAGGGGGUCAUCCCGACUUACCAACCCGAUGCAAACUGCGAAUACCGGAGAAUGUUAUCACGGGAGACACACGGCGGGUGCUAACGUCCGUCGUGAAGAGGGAAACAACCCAGACCGCCAGCUAAGGUCCCAAAGUCAUGGUUAAGUGGGAAACGAUGUGGGAAGGCCCAGACAGCCAGGAUGUUGGCUUAGAAGCAGCCAUCAUUUAAAGAAAGCGUAAUAGCUCACUGGUCGAGUCGGCCUGCGCGGAAGAUGUAACGGGGCUAAACCAUGCACCGAAGCUGCGGCAGCGACACUAUGUGUUGUUGGGUAGGGGAGCGUUCUGUAAGCCUGCGAAGGUGUACUGUGAGGUAUGCUGGAGGUAUCAGAAGUGCGAAUGCUGACAUAAGUAACGAUAAAGCGGGUGAAAAGCCCGCUCGCCGGAAGACCAAGGGUUCCUGUCCAACGUUAAUCGGGGCAGGGUGAGUCGACCCCUAAGGCGAGGCCGAAAGGCGUAGUCGAUGGGAAACAGGUUAAUAUUCCUGUACUUGGUGUUACUGCGAAGGGGGGACGGAGAAGGCUAUGUUGGCCGGGCGACGGUUGUCCCGGUUUAAGCGUGUAGGCUGGUUUUCCAGGCAAAUCCGGAAAAUCAAGGCUGAGGCGUGAUGACGAGGCACUACGGUGCUGAAGCAACAAAUGCCCUGCUUCCAGGAAAAGCCUCUAAGCAUCAGGUAACAUCAAAUCGUACCCCAAACCGACACAGGUGGUCAGGUAGAGAAUACCAAGGCGCUUGAGAGAACUCGGGUGAAGGAACUAGGCAAAAUGGUGCCGUAACUUCGGGAGAAGGCACGCUGAUAUGUAGGUGAAGUCCCUCGCGGAUGGAGCUGAAAUCAGUCGAAGAUACCAGCUGGCUGCAACUGUUUAUUAAAAACACAGCACUGUGCAAACACGAAAGUGGACGUAUACGGUGUGACGCCUGCCCGGUGCCGGAAGGUUAAUUGAUGGGGUUAGCGGUAACGCGAAGCUCUUGAUCGAAGCCCCGGUAAACGGCGGCCGUAACUAUAACGGUCCUAAGGUAGCGAAAUUCCUUGUCGGGUAAGUUCCGACCUGCACGAAUGGCGUAAUGAUGGCCAGGCUGUCUCCACCCGAGACUCAGUGAAAUUGAACUCGCUGUGAAGAUGCAGUGUACCCGCGGCAAGACGGAAAGACCCCGUGAACCUUUACUAUAGCUUGACACUGAACAUUGAGCCUUGAUGUGUAGGAUAGGUGGGAGGCUUUGAAGUGUGGACGCCAGUCUGCAUGGAGCCGGCCUUGAAAUACCACCCUUUAAUGUUUGAUGUUCUAACGUUGGCCCCUGAUCGGGGUUGCGGACAGUGUCUGGUGGGUAGUUUGACUGGGGCGGUCUCCUCCUAAAGAGUAACGGAGGAGCACGAAGGUUGGCUAAUCCUGGUCGGACAUCAGGAGGUUAGUGCAAUGGCAUAAGCCAGCUUGACUGCGAGCGUGACGGCGCGAGCAGGUGCGAAAGCAGGUCAUAGUGAUCCGGUGGUUCUGAAUGGAAGGGCCAUCGCUCAACGGAUAAAAGGUACUCCGGGGAUAACAGGCUGAUACCGCCCAAGAGUUCAUAUCGACGGCGGUGUUUGGCACCUCGAUGUCGGCUCAUCACAUCCUGGGGCUGAAGUAGGUCCCAAGGGUAUGGCUGUUCGCCAUUUAAAGUGGUACGCGAGCUGGGUUUAGAACGUCGUGAGACAGUUCGGUCCCUAUCUGCCGUGGGCGCUGGAGAACUGAGGGGGGCUGCUCCUAGUACGAGAGGACCGGAGUGGACGCAUCACUGGUGUUCGGGUUGUCAUGCCAAUGGCACUGCCCGGUAGCUAAAUGCGGAAGAGAUAAGUGCUGAAAGCAUCUAAGCACGAAACUUGCCCCGAGAUGAGUUCUCCCUGACUCCUUGAGGGUCCUGAAGGAACGUUGAAGACGACGACGUUGAUAGGCCGGGUGUGUAAGCGCAGCGAUGCGUUGAGCUAACCGGUACUAAUGAACCGUGAGGCUUAACC